GACGAACGCUGGCGGCGUGCUUAACACAUGCAAGUCGAACGGAAAGGCCCUGCUUGCAGGGUGCUCGAGUGGCGAACGGGUGAGUAACACGUGGGUGACCUGCCCCUUACUUUGGGAUAAGCCUGGGAAACUGGGUCUAAUACUGGAUAGGACCACGCUGUAGGUGGUGUGGUGGGAAGAUUAGUUUCGGUAAGGGAUGAGCUCGCGGCCUAUCAGCUUGUUGGUGGGGUAAUGGCUUACCAAGGCGUCGACGGGUAGCCGGCCUGAGAGGGUGGACGGCGACAUUGGGGGUGUGAUACAGCGCACACUCCUACGGGGGGCGGCAGUGUGGGAUAUUGCGCAAUGUGGGCAGGCCUGAUACGGCGACACCGCGUGGGGGAGGACGGCCUUCGGGUUGUGAACUCCUUUCAGCCAUGUCGAGGCCCUUGGGGUGACGGUAGUGGGAGAAGAAGCACCGGCUAACUACGUG
rnacentral:rRNA from 1 species